AAUGAACGCUGGCGGCAUGCCUAACACAUGCAAGUCGAACGAAAGCCGACUAAGUGCUUGCACUUAGUCAAGGCGAGUGGCGGACGGGUGAGUAAUACGUGGGUAACUAAUCUUUAAGUGGGGGGUAACAGUCGGAAAUGACUGCUAUAACGGAAUAGGACAUCGGAUUAAAGGAUGUAGUGAGGAAAGGUUGCGCAAGCUAAUGCGUCGAUUUGGGACUACGUUGUAUUCGGUAGUUGGGCGGGUAAAGGCGAAGCUAGGUGAUGAGGCGUAGCCGACCUGAGAGGAUGAUCAGCCACACUGGAACUGAGACACGGACCAAACUCCUACGGACGGCAGCAGUAGGGAAUCUUGCGCAAUGGACGCAAGACUGACGGAGCAACGCCGCGUGAGUGAAGAAGGCCUUCGGGUCCUAAAGCUCUUUUGUUAGGGAAGAACAGCGCGUAGUUAAUCUGCUGUGCGUGUGACGGUACCUAAACAGAAAGCCACGGCUAACUUCGUG
rnacentral:rRNA from 1 species